rnacentral:rRNA from 1 species
AACGAACGCUGGCGGCAGGCUUAACACAUGCAAGUCGAACGCCCCGCAAGGGGAGUGGCAGACAGGUGAGUAACGCGUGGGAACGUACCUUUCGCUUCGGAAUAGUCCCGGGAAACUGGGUUUAAUGCCGGAUACGCCGUAUUGGGAAAGAUUUAUCGGCGAAAGAUCGGCCCGCGUUAGAUUAGCUAGUUGGCGGUGUAAUGGACCACCAAGGCGACGAUCUAUAGCUGGUCUGAGAGGAUGAUCAGCCACACUGGAACUGAGACACGGCCCAGACUCCUACGGGAGGCAGCAGUGGGGAAUCUUGCACAAUGGGCGAAAGCCUGAUGCAGCAACGCCGCGUGAGGGAAGAAGGUCUUUGGAUUGUAAACCUCUUUUCUGAGGGAAUAAAGUUGUUGAAUGUACCUCAGGAAUAAGCACCCGCCAAUCUCGUGCCAGCCGCCGCGGUAA